ACCAAUCACCGCGUCUUUCUUCUCUCCAUUCUUGAAAAUCAUGACAGUUGGGAUACUUCGGAUACCAUAUUCACUUGCAAUGGAGGGGCUUUCAUCUGUAUUCAGCUGGAAGAAACUGAACUUGCCAGCGUAUUCCUGUGCUAGUUCGUUAAUGAUGGGAUGGAUCAUUUUGCACGGACCACACCACGGAGCCCAAAAUUCAACCAGGACGGGUAACUUAGACUCGAUUACAAGUGACUUCCAUGUUUUAUCAGUAACAGCAGCAGCUGCAUUUUCCAUAAAUCAUGUCAAUUACACAAAGAAAGAAGCUGAUAACUGGGGCAAGUUUCUGCAGAAGCAAUGCCUUUAGGAGCAAAUCAUGCUCCAAUUCACGCUAACAUCAAAGCAACUUAAAAAUGAUAAACAAUACGAAAUUUUUACUACCCGAGAUAGAUGAUGCAUCAAAUAUCUUAAUAUCCUCUUCAGUCAAAAGCCAAAGGUAGGGGUAAGGUUUGCGUACACCCCACUCUCACCAGACGCCACUUAUGAGAUUACAUUGGGUAUGUUGUUAGUUGUUAGUUAGUCAGAAGCCAAAGGAACAAAUUUUACAACAUCUAAUCUCAUUUUUCCAAUUAAUUAUUAACUUUAGAUGCUAGUGAAAUCCUUAUAAAAGUCGGCAUGGUGCAUAGAGCAUCCUACAUUCACGUAGGGUCUAGGGAAGGAUCACACCCUAAGAAGGGAGUAAUGUAAGCAGCCUACCCUGACAAAAGAGCCAAUGGCUGAAUAAUUCAUGACUCAGACUCAUGACCUAUAGAUUUUAUAAAUCAUGGCAAAGACAACUUUAUUGUUGCUCCUCCCCUUCUAGUGCAUCUCUAUACUAUCAUAAGAUCACAAAAUAAUGCUUCCCAAUUCACCGAAGAAUGAAGCCUAAAAAGUUCUCAUUCCCGAUAUCUGAAGUAGUAACACAAGGUCAAAGAGAAGGCACAACUUACAUCUAUAUUGCUCAGACUCAUCAAAAAUAUUGUCGCACUUGUAUCGAAUCACAAAUGUACUAUUUUUGGAGGAUUAUUCCACACGCACAUGGCAAUACUCUCUUCAUUUCAAUUUAUGAGUUUCCAUUUGACACAAAGUUGAAAAAGAAAGAGAGAUUUGAAAUUUGUCGUUUAAAAAAGUUCUUGACCAUUUGUGUAAUUAUAAAUUAUUUCAUUGAGUAAAAAAGGAGAUUUUGUUAAAGUUAAAUUACUUUUUCAAUUAUAGAAAUGCAACAUUCUUUUUAGGAAUAGUUAAAAAAAAUAUGUCACGUGAAUUAAAACACAAAAUACUAAAAAUAUAAAAAAAUAUUGUUCUUUUUUAACUAAUUAAAAUACGUAAAUGAAAACAAAAAGGAAUAUAUUCUUUCCACUUUGUCGAAUAUUCACUUUUUUAAAAAAAACACAUUUUAAUAUCUUCUCUAUGAAUAGCUUUAUAACCAUACAAACGUUAAGACUCCAAAUAUCUAAUAUAUUAUACCCACUCAAUAUUAUGAAAUAAUCCCUUUGUCCCAAGCACCCUUCUCUUUUAGUUGUUCCACAAAAAAAUGUUUGUUUUUUUUUAUAAAUAAAAUAAUUUAAUUUUUAUUUUUAAUGAAAUAAUUAAGGAGAAUCUGAAACCACAAAUUAUAAGAGUAUUGGUUUCUUACUUAAAAAUUGUGUGAAAUUGACUUAGGUAUAGAUAUUGAUUUAUUUACGUAAUAAUUUACUUGUCAAAUCGACAAAUUUAGAAGAUAAGUUAACUAAUAACCGUAUCUGAAAAUAACUAUUAAUAGACUAAUAGUGUAACAUAAAUUAAAUUAAGGAGUACUAUUUAAUAUCGUAAAAUUGAAAAGUCUCCUGAAUUUAUUACUUGCUAUAACUCAUAAACAAACCUUCAUAAUUUAUUUUAAACAGUAAAUUUAAAAAAUCUUCAAAUUACGUUACGAAACAAAACAAAAUGGGAGAGAAUAGUGAAGAAUAUGAAGGAAAGGAAAAGAGAAAACAUACCUGUAACGGUAGUACUUUCCUGAGCUUCACAGACGAUUCGUCCACCGCGGCGAACGGAUUCCGAUCGUGAGCUGAGAGAAACCGGCGACCGAUUCAGCUGCACCUUUAGACCACUGAACUGAGAAAAAUUAACUGCCGAGGAUCGACGGCCACCGGAGACCGACAAAUCGGCAAUAGGAACCGAACGCGCCGACGACGAGGAGAAAACGGAGGCGCGUGGAAUUGCAAUGGUUUCUAACAUACCGGCCAUUGAAACAGUAGAGAGAGAAAGAAAAAUGAUUUUUUAGUUUUUUUUUUUUUACAGAGAAAUGGGAAGAGAGAGUGAGGAGGUCUGUGGCUCAAGUAUUCUGUGAGAUUUCGUCAUGCGAAUAUGCGUUCGUUUUAGAUGAAAUGGAUGAGGCUCAUGCUAUCACGUGUUUCCCACGUCACUUAUUAUAUCCUCCCAACAAAAUUAUAUUUUCGUGGGCACAAUAUUUCCUCACGGAACUAUCUAAUUACGCAAAUAUUAUUAUAGAAACAUAUUUGAGAUAAACAAAGAUGAGCGAGAUAUAUACAUACGUGAUCAAGAUAAAAUGCCUACGUAAUUUAGGUACAUCAAAAUUUAAUAUGAUUCAUCAUAUUACAUUCACAUAAAUAAUACUGACUCAUCAAUCAUCAUGUAUCUUGAACUACAUGUAGUCUUAACGAUUCAAAUAUCAACGAGAUUCAUAAUAUUAUAUAACUAGCAUGCACGUAAAACAUGUUUUUUAUUCACAUCGAAAAAACAGGCAUUAAUAGUGGUGGGAGAUAAUUCACCCUUUUUGAAAGAAGUGUGUGACUGACUCUAAACAGCUACCAAAAAAACCUCUAAAUACUUGCCCACACUAACUAUUUAUACCGAACUCAAUAAAUAUAUGCCACGUGUCUACGCAGAUAUGGUUAUCACUAAAUCAUAGUUUUAAUAAAUACAAAUCAAUUAAUCGUAAAAUAUGAAAGAAAAUGUGAUACACAACCAUCCUACAACAAAUGAAUACGUAAGUGAAACACACACUUCAAACAACUCUAUAUUAUGAACUAUUUGCAGGAUUUACACGGCGAGUUCAGUUCCAAUUUUCUUUUUCUUCACAAAAGUUAACUCUCAGUGAUAAUUGACGUGCUAACCAAAGCGCAAAUUGAAACCAAAGAACACCACCUUUAUAGCUGUAGGAGUUAUAUGUGAAUCAUCAAAAUAACUCACUUUGCUCUAAGCCAUGUUCCUCUCACGCAUGAACUGCUCUAUCUUCUCGACAUCUUCCGGGAUGUCAACACCGUGAGCUUCGUGGUCAACUUUUAUCACCUGUAGAAAGAAAAGAGAUACGUGCAGUUAUAUAACAAUCACAAGAAAUAUAUUCCCUCAAUAAAUUUCUUUUACAACCGUGUUGUUCGGGCCAAAGAACAAUCACGAGAGGGGAAAGCAAACCAACUAGCUCAAAUAGAACGAAUCAACUGAUAAGGAUGUAAUGUUUGCACCAUCUUUGAAAUUCUUGUCAAUCAUCCAACAAUAUUUCUUCUUCUUUUCCGUUUGGUUAACUAUAGUUCAUCUAGGAAUAUAUUUCCCCAGUCAUUUUUCAAAUAAUCAUGGUGCCUGGGCCACAGCUUGCGCACCUAAACUAUAUCCAGGUGUACCUCCUACCUCCCACCAACACAGGUAGCAGGAAAUUCCAUUCACCAAAGCUUGGAUAGAUGGAAAGAAAUCACCUAAUGUUUUUGCCUGACCCCCGUUGAAAUUUGAACCCAGACCAUACGGUUCUUAAUCUAGUCAUUAAAACACCGAUAUUCAGCAUAGAAAUCUACAAAUUGAGGGUAUGUUACCUUCAUUUUGUAUCCAUUUUCAAGGACUUUUAGCUGCUCAAGAUCUUCUUCUAGUUGCAACGGUGUUGGUGUCAGCUCUGGAUAUAUUUUCAGGAACUUCGUAUCAUAACUCUAGAAUGAAAUAAGAAGACACCGUAUCAUUCAGCCAUAUAAAGUUAUUGAGAAAAACUAGUUGAUAGUUGCACCAAAAUUGUACUAGUUGAUACCUGGAUCCCGAGGUGCAGCAAGUAAGGAAACUGAGGAUUAACCUUGCCUAACCUGAAUGUUUGCAAAAGUUGAUCAGUUUCUAUAAUGGAGGAUAUAAGCAGCUACUGCAAUAGGCUAUUUAAGAGAAAAUGGACCAACUUGUUAUAAGGGAUGAGCCCUCGUGAAAAAUAUAUUGCAUAACCACGAUUGUCUACCACACAUUUAACACGAUUUGGAUCAAAUGCAUCCUCAGGUUUCAAAGAUGUCACAGCAGUGCUAAAGACCGCAUCUGGUGCAGACUGCAAGAAUCAUAAGUAUGUUAUUAGUCAUUUAAAGCUCAAUCAACAAGUGACUACAUGCAAUCUCCAAUGAAACUAACUCCAACGUAUAACAACAAUUCUUUUUACAUUUAAGAAAAAGACAGAAAGGAAAGCUACCUGUAGGGCUUUGACGAUGCCAUCUAUUAUUUCAGGUUCAAUAAGAGGUUCAUCUCCUUGUAUAUUAACAACAAUGUCAUACUUCUUAUCAAGCUUUUGAAGAGCUUCAUUACAACGCUCGGUUCCUACAAAUUAACAGCUAAGCAUCAGCUAUUCACAAACUCAAAUUUCCAGAAGUUGUAAAAAAAAUGGAUUGAGAAAAUAAAAGGCACUUUGUUUACCGUUUCUACAUGAUUCAGAAGUCAUUAUCACUUCAGCGCCAAAACCACGACAGCACUCAGCUAUCUUUUCAUCAUCUGUUGCCACAACUGUCAAAAAGGCAACCAAAUAAGCACCAGCCACGCCUUUUUUCCUUAUAUAUAUAUAUAUAUAUAUCUUCAUUUUUUUUGGGGGGGGGGGGAUAGUCGACGUGGGAGCAUAAUGUACGCCUAUAGAGAAGGUUGAGCCAAGUCAAAUAGAUACAUACCAACUUGAUCCAAUGUCUCAGCAAGCUUUGCCCUUUCCCAUGUUCUCUGCCAUUAAGAUUGAAUAUGGUGAGGGCGUCAGAUUCUUUUAGCAAAUAAAAUUAUGACUUUGCACUGUUUCUUGAUCAAAGCUUCACCAGUGGUAAAUGGUGAAAGAGACAAAAAGCAGGAAUAUGGCAUACAAAUUUCCAAACGUUAGAACCCUCAGAACAAUUUGAAGUUGGUCCGGAAUUUUUGGAAUCCUGAUAUUGCCAGAAGGGAAAGCACCACACAUGAGAAAUAAAUGGAUCUAUAAAUUUUAUAUCUGGCGAUAAUAGAUCCCUUAUAUUAUGUUUUCAAAGCAAAAAUAUUACCACUCAGGACCAACAUCAUUCCUGGGUAUUCAAGUGAAAAGAGAUGUCUCUGUUGUAACAUUGACUUUGUAACUGAAACUUCAUUUGGCAUUAUUAGUUUGCUCAUUAUUCUUUUGUUACUUGAGAAAUUACUGAUUAAUUCUAUCCUUUGGUACAUUGAUAGUGGAUUACGUGGCAAACUUAUAUUAGGCCAGUGCCGCGAUACUUAAGUAAUGGUACCCUGUUGACUAUGACUGAACAUCCCGCUCCCCAUAUAAUGAAGGGAAAAGCCCAUUUCUAGAGCUAUACCACCGUAGAUCGUUAAUAUUCACGAAAACUACUAAGAUUCUUGGAUCUCUACAAAAGACCAGGGCAUGUAUGAGAACUAAUAUUAUUAGAACCUCUUAUGAAACGAUUUGUCAACUUGACCACUAUUGGAGCUAAAACCAUAAAAUCAUAACAAAUUUGUCAAUGUUCCUUUUCGUUUCAUAACCCAGAAAUCCUCAAUGGUCAGUUGAGACUCACUUGAGCACAGUUCAAAACUCAGUCUUAAUGGAACAAGUUCACAUUGUUUUUACAAGCCUCAAUUUACUAUUCAUUCCACCACUCUAUUGAAGUCCACGAACUAGGACUAUGCAUUGCUCUAUCAGCAACCAAACCAAAGACUAUAAUCACCUUUUUUGAACAAUUCUGCUUGCUGAGCUUGCAUUUAGACUUCCAGUCAGUCGAAUGGAAACUACCAUACACCAUACAAUUACAGAAAAGAAAAAAAAAGGAAGACGCAUUUUAUUUACCAUUAUAUUUACGCUGUCAAAGAGGUUAUGAUGCCCGACAUGAAUCCGUUGGGAAAACGACAGGUUACCCAAAGUUAGGGGCAUAAGUAGAGUAUUAAAACAUAUGUUUGGAGGAACCUGCUUUUGCCUAGACACAGUAUUUAUAUAAGGAAAUCUACUAAAAAUGUAUAAAUAUUCAUUACGAACCCAAUAGCAAACAAGUUAUGAGUUCAGUUGCAAGUUCAGAAACCAUAAAGUUCAAAUCCCAACUCCGCCUUGACCCAAAGAUGGAUCUAAUCAUCUAGAGUUUCGAGUCACUAAGUUCAACAUACUUCUACUUCCACUCAUCAAGAGAGAGAAUACACAUAUAAACAUUUCAAACUUCUUCUCAACUAUAGUUCAUUCGAAAUGAAGGUCGUGUAGCUGUAGAAUUAAAGAGACAAUUUCAUAACCCAAUAGCAACAACAACAUACCCCGUCGGUAGAAUCCCACAAAGUGAGGUGGAUUUGGGGAGGGUGGUGAGUAUACAGCAGAAAGACUAUAUGAUAGACUCUCCACUCAAUUAAAGCAUAUCGAAACUCAAGUAUGUAAAGUAAAACACAAUUUCAGAACCUAUAAACACUCUGCUUCUACCCAAGGUGGAACUAAUUAUCUAGAAUUUUAAGAAUCACUAAAUUCAACACUCCCUGAAUGAAAAAAAUACUACAACUACAUUUCACACUCAACAACAGCAACAACAUAUUAAAAUCCCGUAAGUGGAGUGCGAAGAGCUUAGAUUAUUCAGCGAUGUAAACAUUUCAAAAUUCUUCUCAACUGUAUAUAAUUCAUACCUGGAUCAUAGGCUUGCCGAGAAUCUGAACGAGCGGUUUCCCUUGAAACCGAGUAGAAGCAAAACGAGCGGGUAUGAUACCUAUGACCCGGCUCCGAAACUUGCCGGAUCGGCUAAGGUAAGCGUGAGCGCCGAGAGCUACGGCUGCUGCUGCUGCUCCGACGGCUAAGCCGUGAAGGAUCCAUGAUUUUGCGGAGCUAGAGGAAGAAGAUGAUGAAGAAGAGCUACAGAUCGGCAUUUCUGUUGUUUUGUCGGUGUUAACAUGCGUCUUCUAUUUAUACUACUACAAUUUUACAAAUUUGUUCCUUGUGUGCUUACACAGAUUGUUCAUGUCGCAUACUUUUAAAAAAAUAAUAAUGUAUUUUUAAUUAUAAAAUAUUUAAUUUACGUGUUUCAUAUGAAAUCUUCGAUUUUUAAAAUUAGAAUCUACAUAUUUGAAAAUAGCGAAUGAUCUCUCCUCCGAUUUGAAGCAACAAUUUUCAAAAAUUUUAUCUUUGCUCAAAUGUUAUAGCAUAUUUUAAAUCGCAAAAUUUAAGAAUAAAAGCAUUUUUUCCUAAGAUUUAUUAUAUUAUUCGAAUAAUAUCAUCUAAAUUUGAAACAUAUGAAAUAAUAUAUUUGUAAUCAUCAUAAUUCAAGCGAAUACAUAGUUAAGUGUUCAUGAUUUAUAACUUUGUAGAUGUGAUAAAGCAAUAAGUACUAAUUUAUCUUUAGUAAGAGAUCUCAAAUUCACCCAGACUACAAAACGCCUUUGUUAAGAAACACAAUUCAUCCCGAUGUGAAAUUUUUCGAGGCAAAUCUGGAUUUAGAACCCACUGUGAAUACUAAACAUCGAGCGGAAACUAACAAAAAGAACAACAAAAAGCCUAAAAGCAUCUGCAUUUCGUCAAAUUGUGCCUCCAAAAUAGGCAUUGACUGGCCAAGCAGAAGGAUCAAAUGGUAUUUUUUAAAAGAAUAGUCUUACAACAGUUUUUCCCUUUUCGAAUUACAGCAGCAGUUGCACUCUUGUUAAAAUUGGCAUUUUACAACACUGAAGGUGAAAUACAAUUUCACCUUGAUACGGAAGCUCACACGUCGAUAUUGUAGCUACCACUAGCUAAAGAACUACACCAUAUAAAUACUGUCAAUUCAGUCCACUAGAGAAACAGGUAUCUCGGAAACUCAAUGGAGUUGCAGUGUAUAGAUAAGUCGGUAUAAUAGGUUAAAUAUCAGGUAGAGGCAUCCAAGUAGGGUGAAUGCUUACCACUAUAUGUAUUGAUGUUGUUCUUUAUCACCAUCUAUUAUGUUUCCAAUGCUUUUUCGAACUCUUCUCUUUCCUCGAGGAAUUCUCUUCAUCUCUGAUAUGACUGCUAUGCCCGUUUUCCUUCACCUUCUUAGCAGGCUGUUUAUCCUUGGAAGAUUUCCUCUUCUUUCCUGAGGAUUCAGCACCACCAUUCUCUGCAAUACCAUUUCCUCGGGGGAGUGCUUCUUCGUUAUCAUUUAAUUGCCAGUUACAGUAGAUCUCUUGCUGGUCACCAUACUGUUGCAGUCCCUCCCCAGCGCCUGGGAGCAAGUUAGUAAAAGUCACUUCCCCAUUAGAUCCUCCUUUCCUUUCCACUAGUACUUCAUCGGGUCUAAUUAUUGUGCCAAGUAUACUCCUGUUGGGACCAAGGGCAAAUAUGGCUUUUGCAUUUGUCAAUGUCGUGAAAGCCAUUGAAAAAGCAGAUCUGACCUGCACCGACACAAACAAGAAUCUCAGAAUGUAGUUCCGGAGGGAGCAAGAAGCAAAAGGACCAAUUGCAUGUACACAAGUUACAACCAAAAUAAUGGAGAGCUAUAGUAUUUCUGAUUAGGGCGAGUAGGUAAUAAAACUACUCUAUGAUCUCCAAUUUUCAUGAACAAGAGCUGAGCAAAUAUCAGAAAGGAUCACUCUCUUUUCCUACUUGUUUUGUUAUCCUUUACUUGAGCCGAGGGUCCAUUGAAACCAACUCUCUACCCUCAUAAGGUAGGGGUAAGGCUGUGUAUACACCACCCUCCCCAGACUCCACUAUGGGAUUUCACUGGGUAUCUUCAUGUUGAGAAAUCCCCAGGGGACAUGUUGUGCACAGUUAGAAACUAGUUAAAUAUCAGGCUUUUGUCAGCAGCAACAUUCAAACUUCGAACCUGUGACAUGCAUCUAACCCACACAUCACGAGCUGCUCCUACAACUAGAUCAAAGCCCAAGGGGAUACAGGCACAUACAGCAAACUUACAUGAUAACACAUGCUGCCUCUUAAAUACCGAAUGUGCAUGACAAGGGAAACAUGCAAAAUUCACAAUCAUUGAAACUCAUAAAUAUUGCUAGAGAACGAGCUUCUUAUAUCGCCAAAAAAAGAAUCAAAUCUUAUUGAUGUGGUGAAAUGACUCUAGUAAGAUUUUCAUAGAAGGAUGAGCAGUAUCUGAAAUCAUGUAGAAUUCACCUGAAAAUAAUUGAAGGAGCUCUUGCCUAUGUCAUUUUCUGGUGUCUGCAAUCACAAGAAAGGAACCUAGUUUAGUAAUUUGUUAAUAAUGUUAACAACCUUCAAAAGAACAAGGUACUCGAUUACUAAAUUCCAAAUACAAGGUUAACACAACAAAUAACUACACAAAAAGUAAGGGACAUAAUCCUUCUAUUCAUUGGUCCACUAGAAAAUAAAACCAACCAAAAUAAAUGACAACAUAGUCAAGCUUAAAAAGCAUAAAACCAAAUGGAAUAUAUAUAACUAAUACAAAUAUAAAUAGGAAAAGAUAGAAUGGACGAACACGUUCACUGUGAUAUUUAAAAAGACCCCAGGGAAAUGUGAACAGCAAAGAUAUAAGAGGGGUAACCUGUGGAUCCUCAAUGGAGAUGAGAGAUUGCUUUCCUUUAAUUGAGAACCUGAAAACAAAAAGAAGGAAACAAACUAGAUUACCUAACAGAUAUAAACUUCUAAAAGUAAAACACUUGUAUAACUUCAAAUAUAUUGAAAUUGCAUACCCUUUGCAACUCUUCAGGAAGAAGGUAGCUUCUCCAUUACAAGAUACACCAACAUCUGAUGUAUUUAGUUUGCGUCCAUAAAUAUCAAAGAAAUUAACCUAUAUCACAACAUAUGAGGAAAUAUGAGUAACUUGCCCUGAAUAAUAUAAACCUGUAGGAUAAUUUUGCCACAGAAAGUCCCAAUGAGAUGAAAUUACAUAAAAGAAGGGAAAGAAGAAGGAAUGAAAGCAAAAAGAGAUAGCAGGCCAGGAGGAACAGAAAAAGGUAGUCAACUAAGCUUUUGAGUGAUAUCUUAAAUCGAAGACAAAAAAGGGGGAUAAGUGAGCACAGGCCACAGGCAAAACGAAAUGCACAACCUGCUGUGCACUCCGCAAAAGCUACAACUUCCCCUUUCUCUUGAUUGCUUCUAAAAGGAGGAAACUUCCUUUAGAAACCUUUUAAGUGCAAGAACUGAAUAUCAUAGACUGGUGACAAUUAGAGCUGUACAGUCUUUCUCCUAUAAAUAUAAGUGUUAUGGCUUUGGUUUGAUCGAUGACUUAUAGUUUCCGAACUUCUGCAUUUUUUGUCUUUGAUCUUUUCUCGAAGGCCUCAAGGAAUCUGCUUGAACAACCUCUUAAGAACUUAUUUCUUUGUUCUCCCAGAAAAAUUAAGAAUUAAAGAUGAGUCAAAGUAAAAAUUUUGUCCCUUGCACUUGCCUGAAUUAUUUGGUACUUGGUAGUAGGGUCAAAAUAAUCUUCUCCCCAACGGCAAUAAUUGAAGCAACAAUUGGAAGAGAUCAAAAGAAAUUAAUAGCAAGCAAAAAGACACUUCUAAUAUAGCAUAAACAGAUUAAUUUUUUUUAGAAACACUUCUAAUAAAGCAUAAAAACAGAAUAAGGUUUUUUUCUUGUGCGUGAGUGAGAGAGAGAGAAGCAUGGUCAAUAUGGCAGUAGUUUUCAAACGCGACAGUCGUGAAUUAUCACACUGGAACUUUGAAAGAGGAGGUUUAUGUAUCAGCAAGGAACAUAUAAAGCUAACAUAUUUCAACAUGGUUUGGAAGUUCAGAAUAAGUGUACUUCUCAUACAGGUGCUAUGGCUUUCUAUUAAAUUAGUCACUAGAAAACUUUGCCUCAGACUUUCAUCUUCUCUAAGAAAGACCUAUAAGGAUUUUUCUCUUUUGCCCCUCUAAGAAACUAAGGUUUGAUUCUUUUACCCCGUUCACCCACCGGCAGCUUGACCAUUCUCUUCAAAGCAAGAACAUUGUUCGGUCAUUUUAGGUAGAGCAUUGAUUUCUUUGAAAACUUUCAAGAGAUACAAGUUGGAAAGAGACAUACCAAAAGAAUUCCCAGAUUCUCCUCCACAGAAGCUUGGCCAUUUCGAUGGUUCUGCAAAACAAAUGACAUAGCAUAGACCAAAUAAUCAAAACAAGGUAAAACACAAAAGGUGCAUUGGUAGCAACUAGUUUACAUGACAAUUAGCACAUCAUAACAAUAACACCACAGGGGUUAAGUUGAUUUUGAAGUAUCAAAGAGUGUUGCUCAACAGACUCGACCUUCCCUCCUUUUUAUAGUACUUAAUACAAAAGAGAUGAACAGUAGAAAUUUGGUCAAACCAAUAACAGAAGCCCAGACAAUCUUUUCCAGAUGGAUGAAGUAUCAAAGACAAAGGAAAUAGCAAUUAGAACAGACAUCCAUAGUACCUCAAAUCUCCAUUCAUUCCCCAUCUCAGCUUAUGUUCUCUAUUAGAUAUACUUAAGUUUUUCAAACCUUGAUCAACAAGAGGCCAAUGCUAUUUGAUCAAAUUAAAGAUAACAUGAUUGAGUUGUCUCAUCUCAAAAACUUGUUUUACUCCAUACUCCUUCAAUCCCAGAGAGAACUUCCACCUUUCUUUUAUGUGAAAAAAGAGCAGCAGUAAUAUCCUGCCAUGUGUAUUUGGCAAGUGCAAGGCCAACACCAGUGAAACAUAAAGCAUAACAGAAACAAGAGGAUCCUUUCUAAGUGAGAAUAAUUAGUUCUGUCACGAAACUAAUAUUUCACUUAGUUACAACUUACACCAUUAUUUCACUCGACUAACUAAUUGUGAGGCAUUAAGUCUUAUUAUUCACACAAAUACAUGACCAGUUAUAAUUUACCAUUCACACUAUUAGAACAUAUGAUUGAGUUAACUCACCUGCAACAUUGCUAUGAGCAUUACAAGCAGAGCAUAGGAUCCAAUCCCACCAGUAUAAACCUGCAAUAUAAGAAGACGAUAAGUCAAAGCAGAAAAGAUUGAAACCUUAUCAGCAAGCAACCUAAACAUGUUUAGACGCAUGUCUUUGCUGAGACUUAGCAACUAGGAUUAUUCUGUUUUCUACACAAGUCUGCAGACAGCAACUUGGAGAUAUUAGAAGACAUUAGGAAUGAUUUACCUCAUUUAGCUCUCUCUGUUGCAAGAACACUUUCAAAAUCAAGCAUAAUGGUCGCAGAGGGGGCCAGCUAGACAUAGCAUCCUAUAGAAGUUCGCAUAAACAAUAACAUCAGACAGUUAAUUUCUACAUCACUGGAUUUUCACUGUUCAGCGAGUGGAUAUGUCGGCACAAACCUUAAUAAAAUCAGCAGCUUUGGGUCCAUUUUCCACAUCAAAGCUGUGGCCACAGAACAGAAAAUUAGAAGCAUAAAGUUAACAAGAUACAGAACACAAUUGCUCUUCAGUCAAUAUCAGACUUAGUCAUUCAGUUCAGAGGGAUGGCAGUCUUGUUUGCAUAGUAAGUACUUGGCUGAACUUCAGAGGAAGCUGAUAUAAAACAAUGAGGUAUAUCAAAACGAUUCAAGUUACCAAGGGUGAGGAAUGAGUCGUCAUAGGUUUUUUCUCUAACUUCUAAGAAGUGCAGAAGGAGAGAAAUUGGUCAAUUCCCCCAUUUAAAUUUGUUGGCUUGUUAAUAUAAGGACUAAAGUCUAAACUAAUAUGGACAAUUAAAAAUGAAAUGGACCAGGUGAGAAACUCAAACAGGAAAAAAGGGAACACAAGAAAAGGAUUAGGCCAAAACACAAAAAAUGAAGUACAUCAUAAAAUCAGUGGAAUAUUUAAAUUGGAUAAUGUAAUAAAACCAGAAACCAAGUAUGGAGAAGCUGAAAGCAAAACAUCAACUCCCCUUAUGCACACUAUCCACUGAUCAACAAGUAGGGGCAAGACAAUUCACAGCAAGAGACAAAAUGGAAUGAGUUCUAGCAAAUGCAACACAUAGCCUUUUUAGCUAUGAUUACGGGAUAGAGACUAGGCAAAUAUAGACAUCAGUAAUAUGGAACUAUCUUCUACAAAAUCAUAAUAUUGCCAGAAUCCCGUAAAACUAGUGCAUAAUAAAACCUUAUAUUGGCCGUUAAGAAGAAUCGAACCUUAUGUCAAAUGAAAUGCCACUUUUCUUCUCCACAAAUUUUAUUAUUGGCACACGAGCCUUUGAAAUCACCUGAUUCAGGGAAGUACAUGAAAAUUCCAGAUUAUAAAGUUCUCUUUGCAGAAAUCUAUCACAGAGAUUGGGGGGAGAAAACAAAAGAAAAUGUUCCUCAUAGAGAGAUCACAGGGCCACGUGAUGCACCUGUAUCUUCUUCGCAACUCCUUUCUGUGAGAGAGCUCUGGAAAGAGCUUGCAACCCAAUUUGAGGACUUCUAAUUUCUGACCCUAAAAUCACCAGCUGCAUUUCAAAGAGUAGCUAAUUACUUCUAUUAUAACUUGAAUCAUUUUUGCUUCUACACCACAAUCAACCAACAAAUAAUGUAUGUCUAUGAAAAGAUCUAGCAUUGCAGACAAAGAAAGUCUACAUCUUAAAAAAUUGUUUUGUCCAGAAGUAUUUUGUCAAUAAAAAAUUGUUUUUUUCUUUUUAAAAAAAACAUAUGCUCUUUUGUUGGGUAUGACAACAUUUAUAGGUCCAACAUCAUAGAAUAAGUGAUCAUGUACAGGAUGUCCAGGUUAGCAUGAUGCUUUUUAUAGCAUGUUACGGAGGAUCUGUAAACCUAAGUACCAAACUACAUUCCAGUGUUAUAAAAAGCGAGGAAAAGCGCUCUUCAAGCGCGAAGAACAGCCCUGCGCUUUUAUUUCCUGAAGCGACGCGACAUUGAAAAAGCGCUCGCUUUUACCGUAGAAGCGAGAAGCGCAAAAAAAAGCGAAAGUGUGAAAAAGCGCGCUUAAUUUUAAAAAGCGCUAUUAGGGUUCUUUUUAAAAAAAUUGUAAUUGUUUUUUAAUUUUUGAAAUCCUUACGCGACUUCACGUACCUCUUUCGCGACUUCAAUUAUUUGUUGGACUGCUGCGAGGCUGUGACGGCUGCUGUAAGUUCUCUUCUUCUUAGCGACUGCUCUGCGAGUUUUUUUUCUAUUUUUGGUUGUUGCCAGGUAGGUUCUCUUCUUCUCUGCGAGGCUGCUGCGACUGAUUCUUUAGUGAUUUAAUUAUGUAUUUGCUUUAUAUGUUAUGACUUAUGAGGAUUAUUGACUAUCUAUUUACUUUUAAUCUAAUAAUAUAUUACCUCUAUUCAGUUAUUUAAUAUUUUUAUAUUUUUAAAUUAAAUAUCACUUUGCUUAAAAAAAAGCGCGCUUCACUUUCGCUUCUGUGAAGCGAGCCCUCGUCGCUUUUAUCCGCUUCUCACUUCCCAAACACUGCUACAUUCAGUGUUUGGAAGGCUAGUUGUACUUGUUUGUUGAUAAAUACGAUAUUGAAUGACAGUUGUUAUUAUAAUUAUUCAAGCAAGGAUUUCAAUUUAGCUCAACUUUUGAGCAGAAGUUGCAGCACAUUAAUGAGUAACUAAAAGGAAAAUAUCUUGUAACUGAGAAAGAAAAUCCAAAAUUUACUAGAAAAAAAAAAGAGUAAGCUUACAUCAACAUCACUAGUGGGAAGAUAAAGCCCUGUCUUGAAUGAUCCAAAGACCUCUGGCUGGAAAAAGAAAUAAAAGGAACUUUAACACAGUGAAGCAAUUAGCUUUGUACAUCACAAACAUAAUGUGCUAUACAAGGGUGGAAUGGGAAUGGCAAGUGAGCAAAGACCUUGCAGUUGGGCCAGAUAUAUUUAAUAACAUUAAAAACACAUUCUACUGCUUCAUUACGAGAUGCUUGCUCCUCCAGUGUAGGUGAUAAAAACUCACAAAAAUCUAUUAUCUCUGCAAAUAUCACACACAGCAAGUUAAAGCAAAUUCAGCUGCAAAGCUGUAAGUAAAUUUAAAUAUGCGCACACACAACCACAUGCAUAUGUGUGUGUUUAUAUUGUAAAGCAUAUAUACAUAAUCCAGAAGCUGAUUCAAAAUUUAAAGUUUGUGAGUUCCUACAAGGAUCUCAAGUUCAUAUACAAUAAUAACUAUGUUCACUAAAUCACUAUCACAGAAUAAUUUAAUAAUUAUAUUAAAAAAUUGAGCAACGGAUCCGCCUGAGCAAGUUCAGAGCAAAUUUAGUUGCGCUGCUUCUAACAAGAAGAAUAUCAUAAAUCAUCAUGAAGAACAAUGAAAACCAAAACGACAUAGCUUUACCUUGGUGAAGCUGAAGCAUGGGACUCUUAAACCGACAAUUAGCGCGAAACCAAUUGCCUUCAAGUCCUCUCUCUACUUCUUUAUCCCGCAAAGGAGUGGCAGCUGGUACCGGCGUCGAUACGGAACCGUUAUUCAAGUCGGAAGCGUCUCCAUCGAGGUCGAGUGAAAAGUAAUCAGGCGCGGCAGUUUCCGGUGAGGGACACUGGAGAUUGGAUAGUGAAAUCUGGUUCCGGAAUACGACGUAGGGUUCAUGCUCAUCGGAGGACGACAACGACGGAGGUAUGUCGUCGGUGGCGGUUGUGGUGGUGCCGGCGGCGGAGAGUGGACGGAGAGUUUCGUACAAAAUGCCCUCAACUUCCAUUGAUACUGAAAUCCGCACAAUGUGUCUCCUCACAACAGUACGGUCGUGGAAUUAACUUGGACUAGUUUAGGGCUUUACUAUUUUUUUAUUAUUUUUUUCCUUUUAUUAAUUCUAAUUCACAUUGGAUAAAGGAUAAUAAAAAUAUUAUCAAAACAAAUUUGGGCAAGUUGGGAAUUAAAUUGAAUUGCUUCGUGAUAAAAUUCGGAGAACUUUCACGUAUACUGAUUAGAUAAUUGUAUAUUAUAUAUGUGUAUUUGUAUAUAUGGCAAGCGAGAUUGGGAGAGAGAGGAGAAAGACGAGCGAGAUUGAGAGAGAAAGGAGAGAGGCAAAGAGUGGGAGAGAGGUGAAUAGUAUAGGUAUAUUGGUUAGAUAAUUGUAUAUUAUACAUAUGCCUUUGUAUAAAAACAAGCGAGAUUGGGAGAGAAAGGAGAGAGGCGAGCGAGAUUGAGAGAGGGAGGAGAGAGGCAAGCGAGAGAGAUGAAUUAUAUAUGUACAUUGAUUAAAUAAUUGAAUAUUCUGGCGAAGUAUACAUAUACAAAUGUGACUUAUUAUACAAACUCGAAAUCAACCCACAUAAUUAAUGUAUAAUGUUAGUCGUGAGUGGUAAUUAUAGCAAACUAUAGCUACGAUGAGUAAUUAGUAUAAGUUUGCUCAACCGUGUAAUUUUUCCAUAAAAUUAACUUAUAAAAAUAUAAUUUGUCCAAUUUAGUUCAUCUUAAAACACUCGACCUUGAUUAAUAACUCGGUUUACUUUAACUCGUUUAUGAGUUAGACACCUCUAGCAAUGAGCGGAAGCGGUCCCUAUUUGUAUAAAAAGAGUUUUCCGCCUUAAAUAGACCUGACUUAAUGCAAACCUGAAUUAAUCGAGUCAGUUAAUGAUCAUUAUGCAAAGAGAAAGAGAGAGGAAGUAUAAUAAAGCCUAUAUAAAUUGUAGUAGAUGUAUCUAUACAGAUGAUAAACAAGUCAUUCAUCAAAAUCUAUGAGCUCUACUUUUGCUGUUUAUGAACUCAUAAAAACAGUUAAGGAAACUGAACAAAAGCUAUUAAAAGCACUAAUAUGAAGCUAAUAAUGUACUAGUAUAUUUUACCCAAUUAAAAGUUGAACUAUUUGGGCAACAUUAGUCUCAAUUCACCUAUUGUUCAAAUCCAAUGUCAGCAUGGUCUCAACUGAAGAAAUAAUUCGCGGCGUUUGCAGGAACAACUGGUGCUACUCAGUCCCAUUCUGUGUCAAGUGAAGAAAUUUGUCGCAAUCCUUUACGCCAAUCUCCUUAAAUGUAUCUAUAACUGUCUUGAUGAAUCCGGCCAAAGAAGCCUUGAAAGUUGGUGAGCAGCUUUUAUCGCCCUCAUCGACAUCCUGAACACCACCCCGGACAAGGCUACCUACUUGAGCACCAUCUGUGUAUGCUUUACAUGCAACAAGAAUAUCUUGUGCACUUCGAAAGAAAUGCCCUAAUACAAAAUCUUCAAAAUACUGCAGCAAGAACCGCAUUUGGUAUUAGUAGUUGAUUUAGAACCACAGGUGUGAAUGAAGUCAAGAAAUAGUCAUGAAGCAUAACAAUAGAACCUAUUUUGGUAAUAAAUGGCUAAGAACCAUUGACAACGAUCACAGCAGGCAGAGAAUAAAAGAAAAUAUGGAUACCUUUGGUGGACGUCUCAUGGAGAAGACCAUUGUUUUCAGAUUUAAAAUGUAAGUGUUCUCAUUGUACUGCAGUGAGCUUUGAUCCCCUCUGGCUGUCCCGCCUGUGUUUGCAUAACCAGGCUCAUUAAAAUAGGGUUUUGCAUUUAAAAUUAGCCCCUGUAUGGACACCAAGACUUGUAACAUAGUAGAUGCACGAGGGAUCCAUUUCUCCUUCCCUUGGCCAGUCCAAGUGUUAAGUAGACUCAGGCAGACUUUUCCACAGUUAUACAAAUUAGGAUUGAUCCGAAGGCCAAAGGAAUGGUAGUGCACAAGCUGGAAACGAUAGGUAUGGAGGUGUUAGGCUAAAGUUCGAAAGUAUAAAGCAGUACAGUCCUCAGAGACAAAGCGAGACACAUACCGGGGGAACAUUGGGAUAGUUGCUUGGAAAGAAAACAUCAAAGAAGUAAAGGCCAUCAUGAUAUGGAGUUCCAUCAGCACCCAUGAUAACUGCUCUUAACAGAUCCAUUCUUGAUUCGUACACCCUGACAAAUAUCGUAUCUGCUCAAUAAAAGACGACAAGAUGAGUGCAUGAUUAACAAAUUGCAAAAAACACGUGUUAUAACUAAUGCAAGGCUGCACCCAAGGGUGUAGCCAAGUGGUCAAUGAAGUGGGAUGACAGCCAUGAGGUCUCAGGAUCAAAUCCCCACGGAUACAAAUAAACACUAGGUGAUUUCUUCCCAUCUAUCCUAGCCUUGGUAGAUAGAAAUGAAAGGCUGAGAUAUUCAGAAUUCCCUGACUAAACAGAAUUUCUAGGCUUUUGUAUAUUAAAUUUCAAGGACUCAAUGCAAAAAAAGAAAAUCACAACACAUCAUGUGAAACUUUGCUUGUAUACCAGGCAGAUCGUUCUCCAGUAUCUUCCAUUCCUCCUGUAUUUUCUUGGCCCAGUUCUUAGAAGGCUGCAAUAGAAUUAGAUAUAUCAUAAGAUAAUGAAGCCAAAACUAGUUAAGUUAUGUGAAAUAUUUUAAUUGGGAUAAACUAACCAGGUUCCCUGAAGAAGCCUGUCGAGAAUAGAAAUGGUCCGAAUGAUCCUCAACAGUAUCAAAUUUUUUGAAAGCUUGGAAAUUCUUCAGAAUUUCAUCUACAUUUCUAUGUUGCUCUCCAUUACAAGCCGGUCCUGAAGGAAUUGAAGGACAUCCUGCAGUUGUUGCCCCUUUAUGCAAACUCAGAGGGAAAUAAUUCAUCAUAGCAGGUGAUGCAUGAGUAAUUCCUGCUGCAAUUGGAGUGGUUGGAUUAAGAAAUAAAUUCUUCAUAUCAGACACUGGACCUCCCACGGAAUUUGGGAAAUAAGGCCCAAUAGGAGUAGUUUGGUUGCCCGAACCAUAAGAGGUUGUAGCACCGGAUGAACGUAAUUUCUUUCCAUAAUGAGAUGAUGACCCUUCAUACAUGUUAUAUGGGUUAUUCCAAUCAAAAGAGGCUGUACCACCGGAUGAAUGGAUUUUCUUUGAAUUACUUACUCCCUUAGAACUCUUCUCAUUUGAAUUUCCAAUGACUAAUUGUCCCUCCUUGCCUAAAGCAGGUCCUGGGGAUGACCAAGACGACCCAAACUGCGUAGGCUGACCAACGAGAGUAGAGCUGCUAAAUGAAGCGGAUUGAUUCCUUACUGCCCCAGGGACAUCUCUUCCUGAAGUACUUGUAGUGGUUGACACCAUUUGUUCUUCCAUGGGACCAGGCAUCCAUGGGAUUGGAGCCUCAACUCCAGGGGGAAUGUCCAUGUUAUCAAAAUGUGCUUGUAAAACAGCAUAGUCGGAAUACACUAAAUCAUCAUAAUACAUGUCCAUGUGCUCAUCAGCUCCGAAAAGUACAUCAGAACCAAACUCAUCUAUAAUAAUUGGACUAUUAGAUGCUGAAAGACAAUUCUUCUUUUUUAUUGAUGACGAAAAGCAGUUCUUCUUUGAAGACUGAACCGCAUCUACUGGUCCACUAUUACCCGAGCUACCAUUACCAACCAAAAUAUCCUGCAACAGAUGGGAUUGACAAAAUUAGACCUCCAAAAAAGGACAGCAUAGAAGACUGACAAGAAAAGAACCAGAAUUUUGACAAGAGCGCAUUGGCAAUCUCUGAUUACCUUCCCCUUGCCACUAAAUUUUACAUUUCCAGAAGAGCGCUUAACAUCACUUAAAUUUUCUUCCACGUCAACAUCUAUUAUUUCAUGGAAACUAACCUACAAAGAAUACAUCAGCAUAGUAUCAGGGCCAACAAUAAUGUCACAAGGAAUGAGAAUCAAGUCAAAACAACAAUGCUUGUCUUGUCAAUAAAACCAAGCUUCCAACAGAAUCUCCUGCAAAUUUGGACUAAAAGGCAUACAUACACACAAUCAAAAAACAGAAAGAUGUCAAAAGAGGUUAGCUAAUCUGAAGGACUCUAGUCCUUCCUCAAUUUUCUAUUUUCCUGAAGAGGCACUCUCAUACAUGGCGAAAGAUUUCUACCGUAGGAAAAAUAAACGUCUAUUCAGUUGAAAGGAAGAAAAUAUAUCCAGAUAUAUCUACCUUUUGCUCACAUAAAGGAGAGCGAAAUCCAGCUGAAUGUAAUAUGUUGCAUAUGUGUUAAGAGGAUUAUGUCAACACCAACUGAUUUGUAGACAAGUUCAUAUUAACUUUUACAAAGAAAAUAUUUGAAAAAUAGUACAAGGGCAUGUUGAGGACAGGGUAAGUAAAUGCAGACCUCAUGAUUCUCAACCCGCUUUAUACACAAUGGAUAGUACUACAUACUCAAACAUGUUCACUGGCGCAAACUAGAGUCUUGAACAUUGAUGAAAAUAAGUGAAAAAAUUAAACAUCAAGAGGGUCAUACAGAAGUUGGACUGGCAUAGAGUUUCUUCCAGAAAAUCUUUGAUUUCUUCGGAGGGACAGUGGGAGAUAAAAUGACAUGAAGCUUAACACACUUCAUUUGACUAUUCCUAAUAAAAAAGAAACAUAAACUCUAUGCAAAGCCAAAAGUUCUGAAAAUGCAAAUUCAAACCAAAUAAGCCAAGAAAAAAUAGUAAACUGUACAUUGGGGGUAAAAUGUGUAUCAGCAAGAUGAUUCAAAGAGGUCAUUAACAUAUAUUAUAGCUGAAAGUGCGCAAGCUAAAGGUAAUCAAUCAAUUCAGAAACAAAAGAAAAUGCAAAAAGACUGAAUCCUGGUACACAGUACAUAAUUUUAUACCUUCUUAUGCUGCUUAGGAGUUUUUGAUUUCGAACUCCAAUUGGUAGGUCGCGAAAUUUCCACUACCUCAACAUCAAUUGCACUUCCACCUGGAAACACUCUUUUCCUGUGAAUCAAUAGUACCAUCACAAAUCAAUGCUUAAAUAAUAGAAAAAAAACAAGAAAUGAUCAACUGAGUCUGUUUUUAACUUGUAACAAUAUACCAUCAAUAUCACACACACAUAAACACUUAAUAGAUACCAAAAAGAUCAUCAAUUAUGUACUUUGAAUUCAAUCACAUCAAAAUCAUAGACCCCCAAAACAUGUACAACAACAACAUACCCAGUUUAUAUCGAUAUACACAAACCUUACUUCUACCUCGUGGAGGUAUAGAAACAACCCUCAGCUUCCCCAAAUACUUGGACAUUCUUUUCCAACACCAUCAUAUCAACAAACACUACCCCAAUUAUACUUAAAAGAGUUCUUUUUCCUUUUCACAAUAAAACAAUACAAUCAUCAACCUUAGGAACACCAUAAUGACAUAUCAAAAGUGCAUAAACCCACACACUCUCGUUAUAAUUCUCUUUUUUUUCCCCUAAAAACAGAGAAAAUCAUCAACUGGGUCAUCUCUUUUUUUCUCUUUUUUCACAAUCCAACACACCCCAUCAUCAAAAAAGUAAUCUUUUUCACACUUCCAUCUGAAAAUCAAUACAAUCAAAAAUCAAAAAAAAGAUACUUCCACUAUCAACUCAACUAAUUCUACGAACACCCAACACACCCCAUCAUCAAAAAAGCAAUCUUUUUCACACUUCCAUUUGAAAAUCAAUACAAUCCCCAAAAAAAAAAAAAACUCUGUGAACAAAUAAAAACAAGAAAAGAAAAUGAUCAACUGGGUUUGUGCUAUUUACUUGGAAUUCUCAGAAACGUAUGCUGCUACUUGUUUAUGAGUCUCCAUGGAUCGAUUUUCCAGAGAAUUGAAAGAGGCGAUUUAGGUCAAGCUUGUUAAAUUCCAAAGAUUUUCCUCGAUGAAAUUGAAAAACCUUCCACACAUAUAUAGAAAAAUUUAUUGCUAUGUUCCGUCUCUUCAGUGGAUUCUAUAUUUAAAAAAAAAUUGCUCUCACAGAGAAAAUAUAUUAUGAAACUUUUUGGUUCCAAUAAGUUAAAGACUUAAGCUUUAUGACUCAUUCUUCCCGCCUGGUCAAGUUGAUAGGACGAAAUUUUGAGUCGAGGAUUUAUUUGAAAUAAUUUUUUGAUUUUAUAAAGUAUGAAUAAGGUUAGGGUAUGGGUCAUUUUUUUUAAAAGUUUUUAUUUGUAGGAUUAUAUUGUUAUUGUGUUUUAUUUUUUAUUAUCGUAGUGUUGGAUUAAGUUUUCGUCCACUUUGAUUAAUUUUUAUGAUUAGCAAUAGAUAUCAGGUAGUUCUGUCCAGCAAAAAUAGAAAGAAUUGCCUAUAUUUUUCAUUUUUUAAAACUCUAAAAUAGGAUUUUGAGUCAAGUAUUUUAAUCAAAACAAUUUCUUUUAAUGGGAAAAAGGACAAAUAUAUAUCCGAACUAUCGUAAAUGGUAUGCUCCUCCUUACUGUUGGGACAUUAUUGUCCCUGUCGUCCAAAAACAAAAGCAUAUAUAUAUAUAUAUAUAUAUAUAUAUAUAUAUAUAUAUAUCUUUUAUACUAACGAGGGGCAUAUACGUGUCAUAAUCUUAUUCAUCGAUCUGACAUUUUUUCGUCGAAUAAGAUUGUGACACGUGUCCAUGUUCAGUCUUCGUUUAAAUUGAAGGGCAUAUAUGAUCUAAUCUUUGGAUACCAGGAUACUAAUGUCCCAAAAAGUAUGACAGAGGAUAUCUGCAUAUUAUGAUAGUUCGGGAGUGUAUUUGUCCUUUUUUUGUUAUAUUAUAACGUAGGAAUAAGGUUAGUGUAAUUUCUUUUCUUUUUUUUUCGAAUUGUAUUUGUAUAUUAGUUUUGAUGUGUGCUUUUUGUAUAUUGUUCUUUGAACUAAGUUUUUAUGUACUUCAACUAAUUCAGAAUGAUAUCUACUUUUUCACGUCAGUAAUAAAUAUCAAAUAAAUUUAUUUGUAUGGCGAAAUUUAUUUAAAUCAAUGUUUUUUUAUAUAUCAAAUACAUACUUUAUUUGGUUGUUGAUAAAUAUGUACUUAAAACUUUAUUUUGGGGUGAAAGUUGUUUUCUAAAAAUUAUUUCAACUCUUAAUAUUUUAACUAAUAGUUAAAUAAUAUUUUUAUCAAUUUUAAAUAUUAAAUAAAGAAAUUCUGCCAACUAUUUUCUGACUCAUUGACCAAACAUUGAAUACAUAUUUUGCUACUUCUUUCUUUUUCCUUUUUUCCUUUUUUUGCAAGAUAUUUUUUUUUAAAAAAUAAAAUUAAAGCUAUCGACAUAUUAAACAAUACACUUUUAAUAUUAUCUCAGUCAGAAUUCAGAUUAAUUAUUAUAAUUUUUUUCAAAUCUCAGAAAAGUAUUUUCUAACUAAUCAAUGAGAAGUUGAAAAAAAGGUCUUUCUAUUUUUUUUUAAUAUCAUUUUUAAAAAAAUGGAUUUGUCAUAUUAAAAUACUCUUUCAAUGUGAUAAUAUCUUAAUCAGAUUACAUUUAAUAAAUAUUUAAUAAAAAUCUCCAAAAAAGCAUUUUCACACUCUUUAUAUGAAUUAUGUAACUUUUAUUUUGACUAUAUAUAAUUUUUUUCUUAAAAUGGCUUUCAGUAUAUUAAAUACACCUAUUAAUAAUAUCUCAUAAAUUAAGGUUGAUAAUUUCAAUAAUCAAAUCAUUAAUUCAUCUCUUUUGAGACUUUUAAUCACUUAAGAAUAAACAAAUAAAUAAAAUAUAGUAUUUCAUAAUGUGUUAAUAAACAUAUUAACUCUCUUCAAGUAAUUGAUGUAAUUAAUAAACUCUAUUUUGAAGUUAAACUAAUUGAAUUAGAUAUUAAUACCAAAUAUUCUUAUGAAUACAUUCCAUUAAAGGAAACUUUAUAUUGAUAUUACAAUUUAAGUAGAUAUAACAUACUAUUACUUUAUAUUUCAAUUUACCUUAUAUUAAAAUAUUUAUACAUUAUUAUACAAAAUUAAACCAAAGAAUGUGAAAUAAGUAGGCUAAUAAGGUGCUGAAAAUUUCUAUUUUCAAUAUAUAUAUAUAUAUAUAUAUAUAUAUAUAUAUAUACACACACACACACACACAAGAAAACACUAACAUUAUUUUCCUAAUAGGCAUUUGUUACUACUUGAUUCACAAAUACUACUUUUAAUACUCAGUCGAUGUAUACUAUCAACUUCUCACACUUAUUAUAACAACAUAUUGAUAUUUGACAUGUACGGGAGCUCAAUCAUACAUAUGCACCACCAGAAUCUUCAUAAGAACUCUAGAACGAAGAUCGAGUUUAACCCUGAUUUACAGUAAGUUGUCAAAUUGGUGGCAAAGGUGCUAGGACGGAUGAGUGCAACGCUCAAUGAGGAAUGUCACCAUUUUACUUCUAACGAUAGAUAGAAAAGGUGGGAGAGGGGUUUGAGGGACGACAAACGUACAAAAACAAAAACGAUGUGACAUAUUGAGUUAAAUAUAGACCCAUUAUAAACAAAUCAUUAACACAACCUUCAGCCUCGCUUGGCUAGGAGCAAUCACUUUGAUAUGAUGGGAUUGAUCGGUCUAACAUCAAGAUAUGUAAUUUACAAAAACAAUAACAAAUCAUUAACACAACCUCCAAUCUCGCUUGGCUAGGAAAAAACAUUUGGAUAUGGCGGGAUUGAUCGAUCUACAUCAAGAUGUAAUUCACAAAAACAAUAACAAGACCAAGAAAUGUAAUUCACAAAAACCAAAACUACGAUACACGAGUUAAACAUAGGCCCAUUACGAAAAAUAAAUAACACAACCUCCAAUAUCGCUUGGCUAGGGGCAUUCACUAGAACAAGGCGGGAUUGAUCGGUCUACAUUAAAGAAAUGUAAUUCACAAUAUAUCUUACAUUUCCAGCCUAAACAAAUCAAUUAUUCAAUUUCCUAGCUUUAUUCCUGAACUUUGGAUGAACAAAAUUCCUCUGUAUAAAUUAUCUGUAAACAUUAGGCAAUUGAGAGCUUGUAUGGUCUCAAAAACAAACUGGGCAUUAUACAAAAAAAUUGUAUCUUCGUUUGUCUUUUUUAGUUAGAAAUCUGCUUCUAUCACUAAAUAUCAAACCUUGAAGCCUUCAGCUCGAAGACAUUUACGAUGAGCUUCAAUCCAUUUCUCACACGCGGAUUCACCGUGCUCCACAAUGCAUUCAUCCCUCAGCUUCUUAGUUUCAGGGCAAGCGCAGCAAAUCUUCUUCUUUGGCUUUGAAUCGGGCAUUGUAGAUGCGGCUGACUUCUGAUCUUUUGGAAGUUUCGACAAGGAUAUGGUUGUGGAUGUAUUCUCUAUCGGAAGUCCACCCAUCGUCAAAGAUUACUGGAGGAGUAAGGAAUAACGAUCAACAACGGCUAUCUGAAGGACACUUGAGAACUGAAAUACACACUAAUAUAAGUAAACCAACAGAUAGUCUGUUUGGCCAAACUUCUAAAGUCUGCUUAUUUUGAAAAGAGUUUUUUGUCAGUGUUUUUCGAGAAAGUAUUCCUGGAGAGUAGUAGGGUUGUGUUUGAAUAGUCAAUUUUACAAACAUUUUUGCCAAUAAGAACUUUUAGCUUCCUAAAAACAUGACCAAACAAACUAGAAAGGACCAAAAUAAAUGUAUAAGAAAUGCAUUUUCAAAUUCAACUCAUCAAAACUUCCAGAGGAGGAGAAGAAACCCAAAAGGGUGACUACCGAUAACACUGAUAGAACGUCAAAUUUAACCAAUUUCAUCAAUCUAAUAAUCUAUUAUGGAGUCCACAAAAUAGUGUUACUGCACUUACCUUCACAUGAAGUAAUCAAGAGCUGAUUAAACAUGAGCAAUCAAGCACAGCUAGUGCUGAAGGAGUCCUUUUUUAGAUGCUUAACCACAAUUCUUAAGAAUAUAAGUGGAGAAAGAUAUUACAAGUAUUAGGAUUCCCUUUUUUUCCACAUCACUUACAUGUCGAACAACAUGCACUUGUUAUUAAAAGAAAUCCUCAAUAAUCAUUAAAAAGAUUCUGGUGGGUUCUACACUAGUAAAACAAUUUCAAAACAUAUAGAGCUUCCAGAAACAGAAUCUCUUUUUCUAUCACCCCCACCCCCCUCCCCGCGCUCUUUUGGUACCCUUUUCCAGCUCAUAAUUCAUAUCACUACAAAAAGACUCACAUCUAAGUGUGCAUAAGUUUUUUGGAACCUUUUAUAUAUGAGUUCAUCGGUUUACCUAAAUGAUAAUUAUAUUAUCCUAGAAAAAAGAGUUUUCUCAUGCGAAGGCUAAAAGAUAAGAGAGCCAAGCUUUUUCCUGGGGGGAAAAAAUGUCUGAGAACUAUCAGAGUAAAGAUUAACUCUAACUGCACACCAACUAUCAAAAAGAGCUUUUCCAUUCACCUUUUAUUUCAUCUUCUAUCUAGCCAAAUGAUAACUAAUCUUCCCACUACAUAAGUUCUUUCAUACUAACAUAUUUCUCCAACAAAGAUGUAAUCUCAAACACAUUCACAAGAUGCACAAAUGAAGUCGUUGAUGACAUUACAGUGUCGUGCUACAUUCUAGCUCAAAGAGCGUUGUCUAUUAGGACUUUCAACAAUUAAGCAAUAGUAUGCCAAGUGUCAACUAAAUUACUAAUCAUUCCACAUGACGUGUCAGACACUAUACAUAAUGAAAUAGAAAAGGUGAAGUGAAAAUUAUUCAACAAAAGAAGUGUGUAUUCAGUGAGAAUUUGUGAGAUUUUCUAGCUUUAUGAAAAAUGCCGCUUUACAAUGCAAAUUUCCUGAUCAGGUGACUUCAAUCAAUCAAUCAACUACUUCUAAAAUCCAAAUGGGUAGCGUCAGCUAUAUGAAUCUUCUAUAUCACUUCCGCUCUUCCAUUAUGGUCUCCUAAAACAAAUUUUACGUACUCUGAAACUAGAUGCUCCUUAAAAUUAGAGUGCCGCUCAAUCAAUCACAAUUGUGGGGGAAAAAACAUAUGGAGAAGUCAUAAUUGUUUGGAUAACAAAUUAUUCACACAGACAUUUCUAUACUGCAAUUAAAAAGGAUAAAAAACAUCUUCACUUGGGAGAAUAAUUUGAAUUUAAAAAUGCUUAAAAUGAUGAACAGCAGGUGUUCAUUGUCCAUAUUUCAGCAAAUAGUGCUGCUGUCUAAUUUCCUUAACACAAAACAUGGAUCAAAAUUCAGAACAUGAUGGAAAAAGAAAAAAAAAACAUUUGGAAGAAACAAAAGAGAAUACACUUCUUUGUUUUUUUAAUGAUAGUGUUAUCUGGUCUAGCUUCCGUGCAUCUCAACUAAUUCCACGAGGUACCUGCUAACUCCCACUAGCAAAGGUAUCGAGCAACUUCAUCCACCAAGGGCUGAACAAAAUAGAAUGAAAUCACCUAAUGUUUAUUGCCUCUAGUGGGGUUUAAACCUGAGACCUCAUGAUUUUCAAUCCACUUCCUUAACUAUUAGGCAUCCUUGGGUGCAGAAAGAUAAUAUGUUUCUACAAAAUUAAGAGCAAAAAAAGAUUCUACUGAGCUGGUGUUCUGUGUCAUAUAUUUAAAGAUUAAGUUUUAAAAGGGUGGUUAGACUGACUAUGUUAUGUGGGAAAGAGUGUUGGCCAGUCAAAAAUUCUCAUGUCUAGAAGAUGAGAGUAGAAUUGAUGUAGGAUGUUGAUGUGGAUGUGUGAGCAUACAAGGAGAGAUAAAAUUAAGAAUGAAGAUAUUUGGGUCACGCUUGUGACAAAAGAGAAGAGUGGAUGUGCCGGUAAGAAAACACGAGAGGUUGGCUGAUUGAAGGCUUGAGGAGGGGUAGAAUUAGGCCUAAGAAGUACUGAAAUGGGUAAUCAGGUAAGACAUGACGCAACUUCAACAUAAGAGGGUGUGGAGAUCAAGGAUAAGGAUAAAUGUUAGUAGGUUGACGAGUGUUCUGCUUUCCAAUUCUCCAACGUAUUAGUAUUAGUCUUAAUUUUUGUAUUCUUAGAUUUCUAUUUCUAUCUGUUGAUUCCUUAGCCUCGAUUACUAUUUUCUCUUAUACCGGAAAAAUCUUCCCUACCUUCUCAAGGUAAUUUUUCAAGUUAGGGGUAAGGUCAUAGUACACACUACCCUUCUUACACCUCACUUGUGGGAUUACACUGAAUUUGUUCUUGUUGCUCAAGAGACAAAAAUUACCUCCAACAGCACUAGUGGUUAGCUCAAUUAGAAGAGGUUGAUGGACUUGUGUCUUAAGCCACAAGUUCAAGCCCUCGACCAAGUGAACUAAACCCACUAUUUAAAUAGAGAAUGCUAAGAGGGGCAAACUCAUAAUCUUCUGAGUUUCGAUGGUUAAGAUUAGCUCAAAGUACUGACAAGUUUCACAAUCAUUAAGGUCUGCGUACACUCUAGCCUCCAUAGACUGCACUUGUAAUUUUAAUAUUGUAUUACACAAUGACCAAUUGAUUUCAAAUUCCACCUCUGCUCCUAGACAUGUAUUUCUGACUUUGUUUCAUGAGGAAAAAUAUGUAAUCAAAACGCUUAGGGUUCUAGAAUCAAAGUGAUAAAAUUAAAUGUUGAAGUUUUUUAAAAAACAUUUAAGUGAUCAUCGACCAAAAGCGAUAAUAAAAUGUAUCAGGUAAUUCCAUACUAAUAUAUCACAUAUCUGUACCUAAUAACACCAAACCCAACUAAAUUUACUUGCUUGAUUUUCGAAGUUAUCUAACCAUCGUGGUUUAAAAAAGUCAUUCGAAUAAUUGACUACCCAAUUGUCAUCAUAGCCCUCAAAUUCAGGCUCUUCUCUUUUCAGAAUGAAACUACUCACAAACACAUGACAUUAAAUUGAAAAUCGUUAGGAAGUACACAAUAUGCACUCAAACAUAAGAAUAAGUACAUCCCUAAGCUUUAAUCGAGUGAUAAGAGAGCAUGUGAUGUCCAAGUUAUGCACACAACGAGGUUCAAAGUUUAAAUCUUAUCACAAACAAAAGUCUUCUACUUAAGCUAUGCACAAAACAAGGUCCCACCCCUCUAUUGUUCACUUAAGUAGAAGACUUUUGUUUGUGAUCAGAUUCAAACUUUGAACCUUGUUGUGUGCAUAACUUGCACAUCACAUGCUCUCUUAUCACUCGAUUAAAGCCUAGGGAUAUACUUAUCCUUAUAUUUGAGUGCAUAUUGUAUACUUCCUAACGGUUUUCAAUUUACUAUCAGGUGGUUGUGAGUAGCUUCAUUCCGAAAAGGGAAGAGCCUAAAUUUGAGGGUUAUGAUGACAAUUGAGUAGUCAAUUAUUCGAAUGACUUUUUUUAAACCCAAUGGGUAGAUAUUGUUUUGAACUUCAAAAAUCGAGCAACUAAAUUUAGUUGAGUUUGGUGUUAUUUGGUACAAACAUGUAGUAUAUUAGUAUGGAAUUACCUAAUACAUUUUAUAGACGCUUUUGGUCUAUAUUCACUUAAAUGUUUUUUAAAAAAAACUUAAAUGUUAGUACGUAGUCAAGCGUUCUGUUUUCCUAUUCCAAUGUAUUAGUAUUAGUCUUGUAUUUUCGUAUUCCUAGAUUUCUAAUUCUAUCAGUUUAUUCCUUAGCCUCGAUUACUGUAUUCUUUUGUUUUUGUUCUAACUUGUUGCUAUUGAUGUCUUUUCAUUUAUUUUAGGCUGAGGUUCAAUCAAAAACAUCUUCUCUAUCUUUUCAAGGUAUAGGCAAGGUUUGCGACACACUACCCUUCUCGAACCCCACAUUUGGGAUUAUACAAGGUUUGUUGUUGUUGCUUAAGAGACGAAAAUUACCUCCAACGACCCAGUGGCUAGCUCAAUUAGCAAAGGUUGAUGGACUUGUGUCUUUAGGCCACAAGUUCACAUUUUUCUUAGUUAUUGGCAAGUUUCAAGGUCAUUAAGGUCUGCGUACACUUUACACUCUAUAGAUCGCACUACAACAUGGACCAAUUGAUUUCAAAUUCAAUUUCUGCUCGUUGGCAUCUAUUUCUGACUUUGUUUCAUUAGAAAAAAUAAGUAAUCAAAACGCUUAGGGUUCUAAAAUCAAAGUGACGGAGCACACAACAGCACAAAUAUUGAUAGGAGGGUGUGGUGGUCGAAAAUAAGGAUCUAAUGUUAGUAGGUAGUUAAGUGUUUUGUUUUCCUAUCCCUAGUGUAUUAGUAUUAGUCUUGUAUUUUCAUAUUCUUAGAUUCUGAUUCUAAUUCCUUUUAACUGUAUUCUCUUGUUUUUGUUUUAACUUGUUGCUAUUGAUGUCAUUUGUUUUGAGCUGAGGUUCUAUCGAAAACAUCUUCUCUACCUUCUCAAGGUAUGGGUAAGGUGAGCGUACACACUACCCUUCCUGGACCCCACUUGUGGGAUAACACUGAGUAUUAACUUGUUGUUCAAGAGACAAAAGUUACCUCCAACAGCACUAGUGGUUAGCUCAAUUAGCAAAGAUUGAUGGACUUGUAAGUUCAAGUCCUCAACCAAGUGUACUAAAUCCACAAUUUAAAUAGAGAACGCUAAGAGAGGCGAACUUGUCAUCUUAUGAGUUUCGAAAGUUACGAUUAGCUCAAAGUACGGGCACAUUUCACAAUCAUUAAGGUCUACGUACACUCUAGCCUUCAUAGAUUGCACUUGUAGGUUUAAUAUUGUAUCACACAAUGGACCAAUUGAUUUCAAAUUCCACCUCUGCUCCUAGACAUGUAUUUCUGACUCUGUUUCAUGAGAAAAAAUAUGUAAUCAAAACACUUAGGGUUCUAGAAUCAAAGUGAUAAAAUUAAAUGUUUAAGUUAUAAAAAAAAAUUUAAGUGAACACAGACCAAAAGCGACAAUAAAGCAUCAGGUAAUUCCAUACUAAUAUAUCACAUAUCUGUACCUAAUAACACCAAACCCAACUAAAUUUACUUGCUUGAUUUUCGAAGUUAUCUAACCAUUGUGGUUUAAAAAAGUCGUUCGAAUAAUUGACUACCCAAUUGUCAUCAUAGCCCUCAAAUUCAGGCUCUUCUCUUUUCAGAAUGAAACUACUCACAAACACAUGACAUUAAAUUGAAAAUCGUUAGGAAGUACACAAUAUGCACUCAAACAUAAGGAUAAGUACAUCCCUAAGCUUUAAUCGAGUGAUAAGAGAGCAUGUGAUGUCCAAGUUAUGCACACAACGAGGUUCAAAGUUUAAAUCUUAUCACAAACAAAAGUCUUCUACUUAAGCUAUGCACAAAACAAGGUCCCACCCCUCUAUUGUUCACUUAAGUAGAAGACUUUUGUUUGUGAUCAGAUUCAAACUUUGAACCUUGUUGUGUGCAUAACUUGCACAUCACAUGCUCUCUUAUCACUCGAUUAAAGCCUAGGCAUAUACUUAUCCUUAUAUUUGAGUGCAUAUUGUAUACUUCCUAACGGUUUUCAAUUUACUAUCAGGUGGUUGUGAGUAGCUUCAUUCCGAAAAAGGAAGAGCCUAAAUUUGAGGGCUAUGAUGACAAUUGAGUAGUCAAUUAUUCGAAUGACUUUUUUUAAACCACAAUGGUUAGAUAUUGUUUUAAACUUCAAAAAUCGAGCAACUACAUUUAGUUGAGUUUGGUGUUAUUUGGUACAAACAUGUAGUAUAUUAGUAUGGAAUUACCUAAUACAUUUUAUAGACGCUUUUGGUCUAUUCACUUAAAUGUUUUUUUUAUAACUUAAAUGUUAGUACGUAGUCAAGCGUUCUGUUUUCCUAUUCCAAUGUAUUAGUAUUAGUCUUGUAUUUUCGUAUUCUUAGAUUUCUAAUUCUAUCAGUUUAUUCCUUAGCCUCGAUUACUGUAUUCUUUUGUUUUUGUUCUAACUUGUUGCUAUUGAUGUCUUUUCAUUUGUUUUAGGCUGAGGUUCAAUUGAAAACAUCUUCUCUAUCUUUUCAAGGUAUAGGCAAGGUUUGCGACACACUACCCUUCUCGAACCCCACAUUUGGGAUUAUACAUGGUUUGUUGUUGUUGCUCAAGAGACGAAAAUUACCUCCAACGACCCAGUGGCUAGCUCAAUUAGCAAAGGUUGAUGGACUUGUGUCUUUAGGCCACAAGUUCACAUUUGUCUUAGUUAUUGGCAAGUUUCAAGGUCAUUAAGGUCUGCGUACACUUUACACUCUAUAGAUCGCACUACAACAUGGACCAAUUGAUUUCAAAUUCAAUUUCUGCUCGUUGACAUCUAUUUCUGACUUUGUUUCAUUAGAAAAAAUAAGUAAUCAAAACGCUUAGGGUUCUAAAAUCAAAGUGACGGAGCACACAAAAGCACAAAUAUUGAUAGGAGGGUGUGGUGGUCGAAAAUAAGGAUCUAAUGUUAGUAGGUAGUUAAGUGUUUUGUUUUCCUAUCCCUAGUGUAUUAGUAUUAGUCUUGUAUUUUCAUAUUCUUAGAUUCUGAUUCUAAUUCCUUUUAACUGUAUUCUCUUGUUUUUGUUUGAACUUGUUGCUAUUGAUGUCAUUUGUUUUGAGCUAAGGUUCUAUCGAAAACAUCUUCUCUACCUUCUCAAGGUAUGGGUAAGGUGAGCGUACACACUACCCUUCCCGGACCGCACUUGUGGGAUAACACUGAGUAUUAUGUUGUUGUUCAAGAGACAAAAAUUACCUCCAACAGCACUAGUGGUUAGCUCAAUUAGCAAAGAUUGAUGGACUUGUAAGUUCAAGUCCUCAACCAAGUGAACUAAAUCCACAAUUUAAAUAGAGAAUGCUAAGAGAGGCGAACUUGUCAUCUUCUGAGUUUCGAAGGUUACGAUUAGCUCAAAGUACGGGCACAUUUCACAAUCAUUAAGGUCUACGUACAUUCCAACCUUCAUAGAUUGCACUUGUAGGUUUAAUAUUGUAUUACACAAUGGACCAAUUGAUUUCAAAUUCCACCUCUGCUCCUAGACAUGUAUUUCUGACUUUGUUUCAUGAGAAAAAAUAUGUAAUUAAAACACUUAGGGUUCUAGAAUCAAAGUGAUAAAAUUAAAUGUUUAGUUAUAAAAAAAAAAUUAGGUGAACACAGACCAAAAGCGACAAUAAAGUAUCAGGUAAUUCUAUACUAAUAUAUUACAUAUCUGUACCUAAUAACACCAAACCCAACUAAAUUUACUUGCUCGAUUUUCGAAGUUAUCUAACCAUUGUGGUAUAAAAAAAGUCAUUCGAAUAAUUGACUACCCAAUUGUCAUCAUAGCCCUCAAAUUCAGGCUCUUCUCUUUUCAGAAUGAAACUACUCACAAACACAUGACAGUAAAUUGAAAAUUGUUAGGAAGUACACAAUAUGUACUCAAACAUAAGUAUAAGUACAUCCCUAAGCUUUAAUCGAGUGAUAAGAAAGCAUGUGAUGUCCAAGUUAUGCACACGAAGAGGUUCAAAAUUUAAAUCUUAGCACAAACAAAAGUCUUCUACUUAAGCUAUGCACAAAACAAGGUUCCACCCCUCUAUUGUUCACUUAAGUAGAAGACUUUUGUUUGUGAUCAGAUUCAAACUUUGAACCUUGUUGUGUGCAUAACUUGCACAUCACAUGCUCUCUUAUCACUCGAUUAAAGCCUAGGGAUAUACUUAUCCUUAUAUUUGAGUGCAUAUUGUAUACUUCCUAACGGUUUCAAUUUACUAUCAGGUGGUUGUGAGUAGCUUCAUUCCGAAAAGGGAAGAGCCUGAAUUUGAGGGCUAUGAUGACAAUUGAAUAGUCAAUUAUUCGAAUGACUUUUGUCAAACCACAAUGGUUAGAUAUUGUUUUAAACUUCGAAAAUCGAGCAACUAAAUUUAGUUGAGUUUGGUGUUAUUUGGUACAAACAUGUAGUAUAUUAGUAUGGAAUUACCUAAUACAUUUUAUAGACGCUUUUGGUCUAUAUUCACUUAAAUGUUUUUUUUAUAACUUAAAUGUUAGUACGUAGUCAAGCGUUCUGUUUUCCUAUUCCAAUGUAUUAGUAUUAGUCUUGUAUUUUCGUAUUCUUAGAUUUCUAAUUCUAUCAGUUUAUUCCUUAGCCUCGAUUACUGUAUUCUUUUGUUUUUGUUCUAACUUGUUGCUAUUGAUGUCUUAUCAUUUGUUUUAGGCUGAGGUUCAAUCGAAAACAUCUUCUCUAUCUUUUCAAGGUAUGGGCAAGAUUUGCGACACACUACCCUUCUCGAACCCCACAUUUGGGAUUAUACAGGGUUUGUUGUUGUUGUUCAAGAGACGAAAAUUACCUCCAACGACCCAGUGGCUAGCUUAAUUAGCAAAGGUUGAUGGACUUGUGUCUUUAGGCCACAAGUUCACAUUUUUCUUAGUUAUUGGCAAGUUUCAAGGUCAUUAAGGUCUGCGUACACUCUACACUCCAUAGAUCGCACUACAACAUGGACCAAUUGAUUUCAAAUUCAAUCUCUGCUCGUUGGCAUCUAUUUCUGACUUUGUUUCAUUAGAAAAAAUAAGUAAUCAAAACGCUUAGGGUUCUAAAAUCAAAGUGACGGAGCACACAAAAGCACAAAUAUUGAUAGGAGGGUGUGGUGGUCGAAAAUAAGGAUCUAAUGUUAGUAGGUAGUUAAGUGUUUAGUUUUACUAUUCCUAGUGUAUUAGUAUUAGUCUUGUAUUUUCGUACUCUUAGAUUAUAAUUCUAUCAGUUGAUUCCUUAUAACUGUAUUCUCUUGUUUUUGAUUUAACUUGUCGCUAUUGAUGUCAUUUGUUUUGAGCUGAGGUUCUACCGAAAACAUCUUCUCUACCUUCUCAAGGUAUGGGUAAGGUGAGCGUACACACUACCCUUCCUGGACCCCACUUGUGGGAUAACACUGAGUAGUAUGUUGUUGUUCAAGAGACAAAAAUCACCUCCAACACCACUAGUGGUUAGCUCAAUUAGCAAAGGUUAAUGGACUUGUGUCUUAAGUCACAAGUUCAAGCCCUCAACCAAGUGAACUAAAUCCACAAUUUAAAUAGAGAAUGCUAAGAGAGGCGAACUUAUCAUCUUCUGAGUUUCGAUGGUUACGAUUAGCUCAAUGUACUGGAAAAUUUCACAGUCAUUUAAGGUAUGCGUACAGUCUAGCCUCCAUAGAUGACACAUCAAGGUUUAUUUUUGUAUUACACAACCGACCAAUUUAUUUCAAAUUCCAUCUCUGCUCCUAGGCAUACUUUGUUUCAUCGGAAAAAAUCAGUAAUCAAAACACUUAGGGUUCUAAAAUCAAAGUGAAGGAGCACACAAAAACACAAAUUCAAGGGUUUAAUUGAGUUAUCGGAGUUAAAAAUCAC
rnacentral:lncRNA from 1 species